rnacentral:rRNA from 1 species
AUUGAACGCUGGCGGCAGGCCUAACACAUGCAAGUCGAACGAGUCGCGGACGGGAGUGUAAUGUCUGGGAAACUGCCUGAUGGAGGGGGAUAACUACUGGAACCGGUAGCUAUUACCGACUUCCAUCGGAUGUGCCCAGCUGGGAUUAGCUAGUGGGUGGGGGAACGGGGCACCUAGGCGACGAUCCCUAGCUGGUCUGAGAGGAUGACCAGCGACACUGGAACUGAGACACGGUCCAGACUCCUAAGGGAGGGAGCAGUGGGGAAUGUUGCACAAUGGGCGCAAGCCUGAUGCAGCCAUGCCGCGUGUAUGAAGAAGGCCUUCGGGUUGUAAAGUACUUGCAGCGGGGAGGCGUUACCCGCAGAAGAAGCACCGGCUAACUCCGUGCCAGCCGCCGCGGUAAUUC